UCACAAAACCUCAUUGCCUAAGACCAG
rnacentral:piRNA from 1 species